GGCUCGUUGGUGUAGUUGGUUAUCACGUCAGUCUAACAUUACUGUUAGUACACUGAAGGUCCUGAGUUCAAGCCUCAGACAAGUCA
rnacentral:tRNA from 1 species